UACGAAGGGGGCAAGCGUUGUUCGGAAUUACUGGGCGUAAAGGGCGCGCAGGCGGCCAAUCAAGUCAGAUGUGAAAGCCCCGGGCUCAACCUGGGAAUAGCAUUUGGGACUGGUUGGCUAGAGAUCGGGAGAGGAGAGUGGAAUUCCCAGUGUAGAGGUGAAAUUCGUAGAUAUUGGGAAGAACACCGGUGGCGAAGGCGGCUCUCUAGUACGGUACUGACGCUGAGACGCGAAAGCGUGGGGAGCAAACAGG
rnacentral:rRNA from 1 species